GGGGAGCCCAGUGUGGAGCUUGGACCCCUUGCUCCUCAGGGAAGACUUCCAGAGCUAAGAUAUCUCUCCUGAUUUCUUAACUUCCACAUGUGGGUGUGGGACCAGCUCUUUAACAUCUCUGCCCCUCUUGCCAGUCUGGACAUGGCUUCUUGCUAUCUUUAGUUACACGAAUUCUAUUCAGCUAGUUUUUCGGUGGUUUUCAAAGGUGGUUUUUCUAUAAGUUAGUUGUAAUUUUGAUGUAGCCCUGCGAGGAGGUGAACAAAGUUUACUUACUCAGUUAUCUUGACCAAAGGAGAACUUUUCAGAUCUAUUCUCUUCAGGCCUCAAGUUUGCACACCAGGAGAGCAGUCCUCUGCUAGGAGAAUGACGAGCAGGUCUUUGCAGGUUCUGAUGGUCCCAGAAGUGGUACUUAGGGCGCACGGCCUCCUGGUGGACCAGAGCAGGGCUUUCUAAAGUGCAAUGCCCCUGUAGGGUGGUGCUGCACCUGUUUGUGUCCUAUAAAAUUCUGACAUUUAAAAAUAUAGGAAGACCAUCAAGUAAAAUUUAAAUCAACGUUUAAAGAAAAUAUAAACAGAAGUAAAAGUUAGUACUUAACAUCUUUCUUGUUCUUUUAAAAAUGUGACAUAAAAACAAAUAGGAAAGACUGUAAGUCAACCAUUCAUUUAGAUCUGAAGAGUAUUGAUCCUGAAGUCAUUUCCUUUCUUUUCUCCACAGUGAAUUCAUCUUCAUUGUAUCUGUCAUCUGUUCCCUCUUAAGGCAGAUAUGAAGGGCACAUAGCAAGAGUGUUGGUCAGUAUCUCUAUUUCCAGAGCAACAAGUUUCUGUCCCUGAUGACCCCAAUUGCAAUGGCUAAUUACGCAUUGACCUUGUCUAGUCUGAAAUCCAUUUAGUAGAAUGGAUUUGUACGCUCUUAAAGAUAGGCACUGUAGGAAGAGAUGGAGGAGUUGACCACAAGGAAUAGGCUUAUUAUUAUUGAAAUGUUCCUCCUUUUUCCAGCUUGGUUCUCCAGGCAUGAGGGUGGACAGAAGAUCUUAGUGACUCAUAGCUUCUAGAGAACAAAUCCAACAGCUAAAGUCACAUUUUCCUUCAGUAGCUUGAGCAUUACAUUCUUUAGGGAGGAGUAGGGAUACUGUAUUGCUAAGCACUAGGCAAGAAGUUGGUUGCAAAUUUCUGGUUUCCAUUUGACACAUGCCCAAGCAGAGCCAGACAAGCACAUGGAAUUUUGUGGUUAUCUGGCGGAUGGUGAGGAAAGGCAUCAGAGAAUAAUUGCUAUUUUGCAUCUGUGAUAAUUUUCCUCUACUCACUGGUCAGGACAUGUAUGGAACUGCACAUUUUAUUAUUUAUAUAUUAUCUGGAACUGCAUAUCCUAUUAUUAUCUGUGGUGGGUAAUAAAAUGAAGCUUCAAGAGGUGUGGCACAGCUGAGCCUGUGGCUGACAUCCUAGAGGAGAAAGGAGCAGUUCUGGUUGGGCACAGUAGAUGGCUAACCCCAGGCUUGGCCAUAUGAGCUGUGUGUUUUGAGUUGUGGAACUAGGAGCUGCUGAGGUAGGUUCACCUUGGAUAAGUCAUACUGAUAUCUGUUUUCCACAAUUGCUUCUUUAUCACCAUAGCUGCAUCUUGUGACAACUGUCAUUUAAUUAGUUUUCUCCUUUCCUGCACAGAAAAGAGAUAUGAUUGGUGUGGUCAGAUGCAAAUUUAGAGUUCUGCACUUGUGUAACUGUAUCAGUGAUGAAUUUAGCAGCUUAAUACUAGAAACAUUAUCUCCCAAUACAGAUGAACUGAGUCUUCUGGCUCUGGGUCUCUCAAAAGGCUGUAGUUGGGGAGCCAUCCUGGACUAGAGUCUCUUCCAUGCUCACUUAGAUGGCUAGGGAAAGACUCAGAUCCUCCUGGGCCAUUGAACUGAGGGCCUCUCUCAGUUCCUUGACAUGUGGGCCACUCCAUAAGGCAGCUCACAACAUGGCAGCUGGCUUUCUUCUGGGCAAGCAAGCAAAAGAGCAAGACUGCAAGACAGAAGAAGCCAGAGUCUUUUUUUCUUUUUCUUUUUAAAGCCAGAGUCUUUUUGGAACAAUAUCAGAAGUGACAUCCCACUACUCUUGCCAUAUUAUAUUCAUUAGAAGUGAGUCACUGCUCUGAUCUAUAUUCAAGGGGAGGGUGAUGGAAUGAAUACCAGGAGGAGGGGAUCCCUGGGAGCCAUCUUGGAAGCUGCCCACCAUAACAAUUACAUUUUUUUUGACAAUAUUCAGUUAUAAUAAUAUCUUUUCAAAUAGAAGGAUUUUAAAAAUUACUGACUUUACUAUAUCUGUGUCAGAAACCCAAUGCAUGUUGCCCAGCUAUAGGAUGUUAUAUUAAGACAAUGAUGACACUGAUGUAAGCCACUCUUGUAGCAAACAACCUUGUUACUGCAGAACAUUUUUAGUGAUCCGCUCUUUCUUACAUAGAGUUCUGCUAGCUUUCAUCUAAGUUUCUUAGCAGUUGCCACCAGAAUCAUAAAAUGACGCAGCUAACAAACAAUUUUUGUUUUUGUUAGCGUUUCACAGCAUGGAAAUGCUAAAAGAGGAAAUGACGUGUUCAUGGACAUACAGCUUGGUAUAGUGUGGCUGAGCCCAUGUUAGGUUUCAGUGAACUUAACAUUGCUUUUAGGACAGGGCUAGUUGCACUGCUUCACCUGGGUGACCUGAACAUGGAUGAAGAUCAAGAAAACUAAGAUGGAAAAUAAGGUGAGGGAAGAAAAAAGUGAAAGAUAAAAAGUAGAGAGGAAAAAAUUCAAAGAAAGAAACAAAUAGGGGGUCAGAAGAAGAGCAAGGAGAAAGGCUAAAAACAUAUUCACUGCAGGUGCCACUGGAGGGCUCCAUGACUUUCCAAUAUAGCUGCUUUAAUGAGAUGACAUUCUUAGGCAUCUAGCAACACACAUUAUAGUGCGCUGUCAUUGAAAGGCAGAAGCACAGUAGGUAAGACUGUAGAUCCUAAAGCUGGAAUGUCCAGGCUUGAAUCCCAGCCCUGCUACUGGGUUGUGUGACCUCUGCAAGUUACUUAGUCCCAGUUUCCUUGUUUUCUACAAUGGGGAUAAUUCUAGUACACACUGCAUGGGAUUGCCAUGGAAUUAAAUGAAUUUAUCACUGUAAGUGCAAAGAACAGUGCUGGGCACAUUGAAAAAUGUCCUAAACUGUGUUGGAGAUGGAGUGAAUCUUGGGAUAGAGAACAAAGUAAGGCUCAGGGAUGGAAUAAGGCUUGGCAGUUAAGGUAAGGUGUGUCAGUAUGCAGUCAGAUCAGAAUGCCGUAUACAUCACCAAGCAAAUCAAGUAGAUAGUUCUUUUGCCCACUCAGGCAUCUUUCUAAUCCUUUUCCAGAUCAUUCCCCUUUCUCUUCAUGCUCUCUUCUUUUCAGCUCCUUGUGCAGCAGCUGUUUGGUUGUUCCUGUCACUCACCCUCUCAGGACACUAAUCCCCAAUAUGUAGAGCUGAAAUGAAAUUGGAACUACAUAAUAAUUUCAUAAUACAAGUAUUAUAUAUAUUAAAUCAAAAUUAUUUAAUUUUGUUGGUGCUGUCACUGUAGUUGUGUUUCUUCCAGAGCUUUUCCCUUCUGCUGUCUUUGUUCUUUUUAUUGAAGGAAUAUUCAUAUGACAAAACAUCUGAUUAAACAAUUACUUUUCAAACUAGAAUUUGCUGAAUACCUAUUAUGUCCUAGACCCUGUGCAGUGUUUUAAGUUGACCCUUACAAUAACUUUGUACAUUAAGUAUUGCUAUUCUACCUGUAGAGAUAGGAAAACUCUACCUAGAGAAGUUGUCACUUACCUGAGAUUCUGUCAUGUCUUCACUCCUUCAACAACAACUGAGUACCUCUGCAUGGUAGGCAGUCUCCAAAGGCCCAGGACUGACCUGGACCUCCCUAGGCUCCAUGCACCAUGGCUGGGGUCUAAGAGUAAGACCCAUUCAAAGCAGCAGUUGGAGUUGUUUAAGAAAGAUCCUUAUGAGGUUGUAACAUUGGGGAACACAAGCAGUACUUCAGUGCCCAGGGGACAAAUUGCUACACAGAACUAGGGCAAGAACUGAAGAGGGUAGAGUGCCGUUUUUCCCACCUCACAGGUUUGCCAUGUGGGUGCCCUGGAAAGGAAUGCCAUCAAGGAAUCUGACUCACAGUGGCUGAGUGAAGGGGCACCCUUGGCAUGCCAGAGUGCAGAGCAGAAGAACAUGCAGUACAACCCCAGGCAAUUACUGGGAUUGGGAAUUGUACUAAGGAGGGAAUUGAGGGCUCUGAGGUCCUUUACACAGGUAGGAAUGAUGAGUCAGUGAGAGUUUAAUUAUGCUUAUCUGUGGUUCUAUUUUAUGUUAGUCUGGAA